GCUAAAUUAACAGCAGUUGGCGCUUUCUGCUUCGUCCUCUUGACAAGGUUCAACCAGCCGCUUGUAAGAGAAGACUAGCAUCAUCUGAAGAAAAACGUCACAUCAAAGUUCAGUAAUAAAAGAGGUAACUUUGGAGAAAAGAGAAACCUGGGAAACAGCUACAAAUGGCAGACCCAGAAGCUGCAGAAACAUGCCUAUGAUAAACUCUGUCAGCUGCCAUGGGAAACCACCUACACAAAGACAAGGCAAAACAGCAGUGUACCACUCACCAAUCACAAGGCCCACUUGUCGACACACCAUGACUGCAGCAAACACAGUGGAGCGAUCUUCUGGGGCUGUGCUUCUUGUCAACAAACCAAAGAUGGAUGAGCCGGCG